AUGCAGAUCGGCGGAGUUGCAGAUGAGACGCCGUGGAGGCGCCCCGAGCAGGGAGGUCGCGCUAAAGAGAGAUGGUCGCGGCGAAAGAUCCUUGAGUUUGACGUGUCUUCCUCAAUGGCUUUAAGAUUCGUGCAGAAAAAUCAAACGUUUCCACUGCCGGCAGAAAUGCAAGCACCAAACGGAAAAAGCGCGCAGGAGGGGAAUCGAGGAGGAGUAGGGGGGAGUCGGAUCCAUGGACCUGGCCGCGAAACGGGGCGGGCUUCCGCCGUUCCGUCCGGACCGACGGGUUCCACAUCGGAGGCGGGGAGCGGAGCACCGGAGGAGCCGCGGCCGCGGCGCAGGAGGCCGCCCCUCUGGCUCCGGGCCGCAUACAAGCGAUUGGUUCCACUUCUAUCUAGGGUUUCAGUCAACCUCCGAAUCCGGCCGCCGCCGCCUCCCAACAUCGACCGAGAUGAGGACAGAUUCAGCGCGCUCCCCGACGACGUCCUCCGAGGAAUCCUGGAGCGCCUCGACCUGCACGAGGUGGUCCGCGCCCGUGCAGUCUCCACGCGGUGGCGGCACCUCCCCCACCUGCUCCCGCGCCUGCAUCUCGACGUCCGCCACUUCGUCGGAGACAAUUCGGCGGUCCUGAUCACUGGGAAUUCUCCGGUGGCCGACGUCAUGGAGGCGUUCACGGGCGCGCUGUGCAGUUUACUGUCUGCAUGUCCUCCUCCGGCCCAGUGCAAGUGCGCCAUCAAGACCCUCAGCCUCCGCUUCUUCCCGAUGUCGGACCUGAGCUCCAUUGGCCACGCCGUCGAGGACGUUGUCGCCCGCGGUGAGAUUGAAUGUCUUGAAUUUCACACGUGCUCGCCAUACAGUUUACGGACUGGUUUCAACACUGAAGGGCUGCGUGCUGAGUUGGGGCAGCUGUUCAUGUCCUUCUCCGGUGCCUGUCCAGUUGCCUUCCGGUGGCUCACGAUGCUUAAAUUCAACGAGGUCUAA
rnacentral:rRNA from 1 species